GAUGAACGCUGGCGGCGUGCCUAAUACAUGCAAGUCGAGCGAACAGACGAGGAGCUUGCUCCUCUGACGUUAGCGGCGGACGGGUGAGUAACACGUGGAUAACCUACCUAUAAGACUGGGAUAUCUUCGGGAAACCGGAGCUAAUACCGGAUAAUAUAUUGAACCGCAUGGUUCAAUAGUGAAAGACGGUUUUGCUGUCACUUAUAGAUGGAUCCGCGCCGCAUUAGCUAGUUGGUAAGGUAACGGCUUACCAAGGCAACGAUGCGUAGCCGACCUGAGAGGGUGAUCGGCCACACUGGAACUGAGACACGGUCCAGACUCCUACGGGAGGCAGCAGUAGGGAAUCUUCCGCAAAGGGCGAAAGCCUGACGGAGCAACGCCGCGUGAGUGAUGAAGGUCUUCGGAUCGUAAAACUCUGUUAUUAGGGAAGAACAAAUGUGUAAGUAACUAUGCACGUCUUGACGGUACCUAAUCAGAAAGCCACGGCUAACUACGUG
rnacentral:rRNA from 1 species